UGGUUAAGGGUGGAGCAGCCCCAUCCACUGCACCACAACCCAUGUUGAUUUUAAUUCAUAUACUUAUUUGUAUAUAAAUACAAAUGAUAAAUUGCACAUAUUGACAACUAAACUAUUCAAAUACAAAUAAUAAAUUUAUUUGAAAUAUAUAGUAUGAUACAAAUAAAUUUAAAGUAAAAAAAUAUAAAAUGCAAUGACAAAAAAAAAGAUGAGGAAAAGAAUAUAAAAAAAUAAGAAAAAUGACAAAAAUGAUGAACCAAGAAUGAAAAGGGGGG
rnacentral:lncRNA from 1 species